GACAGAGGGUGCAAACGUUGUUCGGAAUUACUGGGCGUAAAGCGUGUGUAGGCGGUCUACUAAGUCGGGUGUGAAAGCCCUGGGCUCAACCGUGGAGGGUCAUUGGAAACUGGGGGACUUGAGUGCAGAAGAGGAGAGUGGAAUUCCACGUGUAGCGGUGAAAUGCGUAGAGAUGUGGAGGAACACCAGUGGCGAAGGCGACUCUCUGGUCUGUAACUGACGCUGAGGCGCGAAAGCGUGGGGAGCAAACAGG
rnacentral:rRNA from 1 species